UGGUCAUUAGUGUAACGACAGCACGGCAGUUUGUGGCACUGCAGGCAUGGGUUUGACUCCCGUAUCUCCACCCA
rnacentral:tRNA from 1 species